rnacentral:rRNA from 1 species
GACGAACGCUGGCGGCGUGCUUAACACAUGCAAGUCGAGCGAUGAAACACCGUCGGGUGCGGAUUAGCGGCGAACGGGUGAGGAACACGUGAGGAAUCUGCCUUCCACUCUGGGAUAACUCCGGGAAACCGGGGCUAAUACCGGAUACUUUCAACUGGCGGCAUCGCCGGUUGAAGAAAGUUUCUCGGUGGAAGAUGACCUCGCGGCCUAUCAGCUUGUUGGUGAGGUAAAGGCUCACCAAGGCGACGACGGGUAGCCGGCCUGAGAGGGCGACAGGCCACACUGGGACUGAGACACGGCCCAGACUCCUACGGGAGGCAGCAGUGGGGAAUAUUGCACAAUGGGCGCAAGCCUGAUGCAGCGACGCCGCGUGAGGGAUGACGGCCUUCGGGUUGUAAACCUCUUUCAGCAUCGACGAAGCGAAAGUGACGGUAGGUGCAGAAGAAGGACCGGCCAACUACGUGCCAGCCGCCGCGGUAA